UGGGUUCAGUUAAGAGUCCUGACACCCGCCGCGCCCCCGCGUCACCGUCGCCGCCGCCACGGUCGUGGUGGCGUCCUCGUACGGCUGUAAUACGGUGAGGAAGAGAGGGAUGUGUAUCAGGCCAUGGGGUAAUGGAGGGCGGCAUCCCUGGGACCUCCAGCGGGCUGCUAGUCUCCUCCCACUCAUACAGCAUGGAAGCGCUCGACUCGACUCCCUCGCCUACGACGGUAAGUGAUUCUUGGGUUCUGGAUCGAGUUCUAUUUGCCUUGAUUCGCCUAGGGCUUUAGCUUUAGCUUUAGCAACUGUAAUGCCCGAUGGUUAGCAGGGAAUGGUUGGGAUUGGUAUGGUUUAGGUGGACGCCCAUGUUCUGUUCGACGAAAUGCGUAAUCCAUAGCUUCUUAAUAGCUGUCCAAGCGUCUGCUUUAGCGUGCGGGAUAGUGUGUGCUGCCAUGAAUUCGGAGAUCAGCACCAACCAUGUGGUGCUUGUGCACUCAUGCAUAUGGUGUUUAAUGAGACUUGUAGUUUGAGGGGGGCCAAGGUGUGGCCAUGUAUGCACAGGUUCUAGCUGUUACAAUCCUGUUUGUUUCCUGAUCAGAUUCUGGUCUGGAUAUUGCACAUCAACUGCUGAAUCAGCAUGUCUGAUUUUGGACGUGCCCUGUGCGUACGGCCUGUAAAUGUUUUCUGAAUACGGGAGUUCGAUGUUUUAGCAACAGUGACAUGUUUCAUGAUGCUGGAGGCAAACUUACUAACGCAUUGAGAGAACACUGUAAGGCAGUAUGUGUUGUGGCUAGAAAAGAUAAUCAACCAUGGACAAUGAAAGCCUACGGCUACAGAAACCGUAGAUGAGAAUUGUUUUGUCAAUGUUACUGCUAGUUUAUUAUAAUUUGGCAUAAACUCAAAAUUCUGAAGAUGGUGUUAUCUACUAUGUUCUGCAGUUAGGCUGAAAUGUAACUUGGAUAGCUUUUCUCUCAAAAGGGAGGUUGUUCAGGAAUUGGGACCAAAUCAAAAGACUCUGUCUCCAAGUUUAACCAUGCUUGUUGAAGAUGUCGCAGAGGAAAUAUCGGUUAGUAGUUACUAGUUUGUAAAAGGAGUGCGCUUUUAUGGAUAUGUUCUUAAAAGCCAACUAAAUAUUCUGUUUCUUCCCCGGCAUUUUUUUGCAUCUUCCAUUUUUCUUUUACUCCCUCCAGUCAGGCAAUACAACCGGAUCGAUUCGUAGUUCUUUUGAGGCCAAUUGUUGCCGGAGCAGAAUCGAUAAUGAAGGUCAUCUAUCCAUGCGCCUCUGAUGGAGUCAUGGCAUGCGUUUGAUAUCCUUAAGUCAUUGAUCUGUUACCUUCUCUGGAUUUGGUUCUUGUGGCUGCUAGUUCUACUGAUACAAGUUCAUUAUUGAGCGCUGAGCUCAGAUGCAGGUUCCGAGUUAUUUUCUUCUCCGUUUACUCGUUUAAUAAAUUUACGCACCUAUGUUACUCUGUUUAUUUCUGUUCUUAUUUAAUCACACAAUAAAGUAGAUACAUGUCAAUUUGGAUGCUCUUGGUAAUGCUCUUGUCUUUUCUGGGUGUUAUUGGCUGACAUACCAUGAAAUAAGCACAAAUAUAGAAUAGAGAGAAUCAACUCUUAUAGAGUAAGACAUUUGAU
rnacentral:lncRNA from 1 species